rnacentral:lncRNA from 1 species
GGAAAGUGAGAGGGGUCUCAUAUAUAGGAAAAUCUUAGAUAAAAACAUACACGGAUAGAGAUUAGAUGAGAAAUCUGUAAAACCCAAAAUUAUUCAAAACUUCAAAAUAAUUUUGUGAUACAAAACCCAUUCGCAUGCUGCUCCACUACUACUGGAAAAAAAAAAAUAAGACUAACCCACAACCAUUACACCCUUAAGAGAAAAAUCUAUUAAAUCUUAACAUUAAAAACCAUCAUCAACAAAAGACAUCAAGUACACAUCGCCCACUAUCCAAAAUAAAAAAUACUC